CCGGACCUGACUGCUAUCGGAUUGGUACUAAGCCAUGCGAGUCGUUGUAGCAAUACAAGGCGGACGGCUCAGUAACACGUAGUCAACCUAACCUAUGGACGUGGAUAACCUCGGGAAACUGAGAAUAAACCGCGAUAGAUCAUAAUGCCUGGAAUGGCUUAUGGUUAAAAUAAUUUAUUGCCGUAGGAUGGGACUGCGGCCUAUCAGCUUGUUGGUGAGGUAACGGCCCACCAAGGCUAUAACAGGUACGGGCUCUGAGAGGAGAAGCUCGGAGAUGGGUACUGAGACACGGACCCAGGCCCUAUGGGGCGCAGCAGGCGAGAAACCUUAGCAAUGUGCGAAAGCACGACUAGGUUAAUCCGAGUGAUUUCUGUUGAAGAAAUCUUUUGUCAGUCGUAAAACCACAGACGAAUAAGGGGUGGGCAAGUCUGGUGUCAGCCGCCGCGGUAAUACCAGCACCUCGAGUGGUCAGGAGGUUUAUUGGGCCUAAAGCAUCCGUAGCCGGCUAUGCAAGUCUCCGGUUAAAUCCAACUGCUCAACAGAUGGGCUGCCGGAGAUACUACACAGCUAGGGAGCGGGAGAGGUAGACGGUAUUCUGUGGGUAGGGGUAAAAUCCACUGAUCCAUAGAGGACCACCAGUGGCGAAGGCGGUCUACCAGAACGCGUUCGACGGUGAGGGAUGAAAGCUGGGGGAGCAAACCGGAUUAGAUACCCGGGUAGUCCCAGCUGUAAACGAUGCAAACUCGGUGAUGCAUUGACUUAUGGUCAAUGCAGUGCCGCAGGGAAGCCGUUAAGUUUGCCGCCUGGGAAGUACGGACGCAAGUCUGAAACUUAAAGGAAUUGGCGGGGGAGCACCACAAGGGUGAAGCCUGCGGUUCAAUUGGAUUCAACGCCGG
rnacentral:rRNA from 1 species